ensembl:lincRNA
CUUGCUAAACGAUUGUGCUUGGAAAGGUGGAAAGCAUUCUUGAGAUGGCUGACAUGGCAGAGGUAAAAGUUCUUAUUUUUAUUGUAGAUGGAUUAUUGUGGUUUUUUUUUGUUUUUUUUUUUAAAUACACUUGUCAUCCAUCUGUCUAUGUAACUAUCAAUCCAUUAUUAGAAGACAUUGAAAAGAUUUGAUUGAUGCAACUAUUUCGAAAUUUUCUGCGAGAUAUUGUUGCAGAUCUUGUCUGGAGGUAAAAUGUAGGAUAGAUUAGAAUAGUAAUUUCAAAGAACAUCGACACAAGAAGGCUGGUAUGAAAAUAAUGCUUCUUAUUUUAUUUCUCACUAAAUAUAAUUAUGCACUGAGUGCAAGUAGUCAUUGUACGAUCCUGCACGAUCUCAAACGAGGAAAUGACAUUUGGCCCGUCAUUGCCGUGGUGCAUUGGUGUAAGCAUCAAUUUUCUUGAUUGUUUACUGGUCUAAAUAACCAGAUCUUUGAUCGGGUGGCACAACUUGUGUUAGUGUAACUUGUGUGGUGUAAUUCAUUCUUGUGAAUGAUAAAUUGUUGAACACAUUUUUUGAAAGACCUUGUCUCCCUUGUCCCAGUGUCUGUGUCCAAGCCCUACCUCCCCCACCCCCAACAUUAUUGAACCUUCCCUGUUGUUUUCUGUCCUAUUGAAUUUUUCCCGAGAUAACAAGCCAAUCGGUGCAGCCCGUGAGUGUGAUCGUCGUGGCAGCAUAAGAUAUGCCAAGAGUAUGCUCAGACGCGGACAUCUGACGGCCUCAAUAUCAUAGGACCUGCUGGUGAGCAUGCACACAAAUUAAGAUUUGCCCAUGGUGUGGAAUUUUCCUGGCUUUUGCCAGUCAGUGGGCACACACCAUAAACCAUCAUCUGUCAGAUUGUGUCGGCCAAUGUACAUGCGCCACGGACAGUCGGAUUGCCCACAUGGGACGUGACAAAAGCAUACACACACCAUGUGCGUUCACGGUUGCCAGUGCUUCUUGUUGCCAUUCUAGCUUUGUGCAUGGUUGGUGGUUGGCUUAUUGUUGUACUUUGAUUUGUGGUUCUUUGGUAUGUGGUGAGGAUGCGGCUGGUUGGUGCACACACGCAGGCACCAUGAGAAUGAGCCUGAACAGAACCGCUGUGCACCUGUCUAUGACCGUGCUGAUGAACGAGCCAGGAGUGAAUGCAGUGGAGCUGACCGGAGCUGUGUGUAGAGUGGCGCCACACAGUACAGAGAACCCGAACCUUGGACUAAGCUACUCCCCUACCCGGGCUCUUCAACUCUGGACCCUGGGAUCCCAAACCACCACCCUAACCGCCAAGCCAACACCAGGAUUCCUCUGCGUUAUGAAAACGCACCUCACUUGUCGCAGCGCAGUUGGUGAAAGGGAUGCAAAAGCAAUGACCUACCAAGACGAACCGUCCAUUGGAGAUGAGGUGAAAAGUUGAAGGGAGUGCUGCAGAAAUGAGUUCUUAGAGGGAGAGAAAUAAGAACAAACAGCAAAAACGGGUUGCCAUUUUCAUCACCGAACAUUUUCUGGGUGCAAAGUGUUAAGGAUUGCAGGUCCUGUUGAACAAUGCUGCUCAAAUGGAAGACUGAGCGGUUCGAUGCAGAUCAUCAAUCAAUUGGUCUGAUCAAUAAGUGCUUUUGGUUUUCCUUGUCCUUGCAAAAAAAGCCUCGCAAACAUCUUUUACAAUUGGACCAGGGCCAAUAUCAACAGCCUACAGGCGGUAGUAAAAGGGAAUUAGGCCGUAGCAAUCAAGAGUGAAGACAGAAGAGUUUAACGGAAAGCCGGUUUCCCAUUCCCAAGUGCACCAUUUUGCCUUGGCCUGGCUUGCAGAUCACAGAAAUGAACUCCCUCAUGCUUUUAUGUCCACUCUGUAUGAAGGUGUUGUAAAUUAUCACAGACAAGAUCUUCCAGCAGAUAUGAGCUUUUGGUGCUCGGACAUUGCCAUAUCAUGUCACCUGUGCACUCGGUGCAAACGUGGUUCAAUGUAAAAGCACUAUAAAGCAUAGAAACGUUUGUAUGAAUCUGAGGCAAGAGGAAGAGCUAUCUUUACCUGUCAGCUUACAAGGGGAGGGAUAAAGGAUGAGUUCUAAAUGUCCUCGAUAGUGAAAGGUCAGUUGUACAUCUAUGCUUGUACUGUAAGUUUGAUUUUUAUUUCAAAUUUGUCUUGCAUUGAUGUGGCAAAUCAGUCUAUUUAUAGUGCAGUUCAAAUGUAUUUGCCAAGUUCUCCUUGUCCAGGGAUGUCUGCACUAUCCCUGCAUAUUUCAACAGUUUCAUCUUUGCCGCA